rnacentral:rRNA from 1 species
UGAGUAACCUGCUCUUAACUCUGGGAUAAGCCUGGGAAACUGGGUCUAAUACCGGAUAUGACUCCUCAUCGCAUGGUGGGGGGUGGAAAGCUUUAUUGUGGUUUUGGAUGGACUCGCGGCCUAUCAGCUUGUUGGUGAGGUAAUGGCUCACCAAGACGACGACGGGUAGCCGGCCUGAGAGGGUGACCGGCCACACUGGGACUGAGACACGGCCCAGACUCCGUACGGGAGCAG